UGGGAACCCAUACUGAUAGAUGAUAGAAAUCUCUGGUCUCUCUUCUUAAUAACCUGUGAUAGGAGGACGUCACCAAAAUACUCCACGCAGCCCCUUUCAUUCCUUAAUCUUGAUACAAUAAUGUAAUGUGUUUUUAUUUGGACCAUGCUAACAUGAGUGUUGCUGGUGUCUCGACUAACAUGAUGAGAUCACCUGGUUCAUUAUAGUCUAAAAUUUCUGAAAUGUCAUUACUCUCCUGAUCAGUUUGUCUUCUCAUGUAUUUCCUUUCCGUUUUACAAUGACCCUUCGUAGAUAGUUUAGAUCUGCAUUGGUUUAACC
rnacentral:lncRNA from 1 species